CAAAAAGUGGAAUAAGUCAUCUCAAGGAUAAGUCUCUUGUAAAUAUUUCAGAAAACAAGUUAGAGAUGCAUGAUUUGCAACAGCAAAUGGGCAAGGAUAUUGUUGACCAAGAAUGUAUAAAACAACCAGGAAAGCGUAGCAGGCUGUGGAACUACAAGGAUAUCUACCAUGCAUUAACCAAGGAUAAGUCGAAGGCAUGAUUCUGAACAUGUCCCAAAUUAAAGAUGUGGAACUAAGUUCUACAGUCUUCAUGAAAAUGGAAAAUCUUAGAUUCCUGAAAUUCUACAAUCCUUGCUCUGCAAAAAUCGAAGUGCAUUUUCCUAAAGGCCUCAAAUUGCUUCCUGAUGGGCUAAGUUUUCUUCAGUGGGAUGAAUACCUCUAAAGUUUUUUCCAUCAAAAUUUUCCCCCAAGAAUCUCAUUGAAUUUCACAUGCGUAAAAGCCAACUCAAACUACUUCGGAGUGAAGAUCAGAUUGCUGAAGAUUUACAAUUUAUGGACCUCAGCCAUUAUAUGAACCUAAUUAAAACACCAGAGUUGUCUAAAUUCCCAAAACUUGAGGUUUUGCAUUUGAAGGAUUGUACAAGUUUGGUUGGGAUUUCCACGUCUUUAAAGUUGCUCAAAAUUGGCGAGUCUUCCAGGCAGCACUGGCGAGUUGAAAUCUCUUCAGUAUCUUGAUCUCCAAGGAUGCUCAAACCUAGCAAGUCUUCCGGAUGGCAUUGGCGAGUUCAAAUAUCUUCAGCAUCUUGAUCUCGGGGGAUGCUCGAAACUAGGAAGCCUUCCAAGCAGCAUUUGUGAGUUGAAAUGUCUCCGUCAUCUUUAUCUUAAGGAAUGCUCAAAACUAGUAAGUGUUCCGAUUAGCAUCGGAGAGUUGACAUGUCUUAAGCAUCUUGAUCUCAAGGGAUGCUCAAAGCUAGGACACCUUCCAAUCAGCAUUGGCAAGUUGAAAUAUGAGAAUGUUUAUCUGAAUGGAUGUUCAAAACUAACGAGUCUUCCAGGCA